AGCUAGUUUGGAUGGUGAGAGUGUAUAGAUUUGCUAGAAAAAGCAAGUUAAGAGAAGAUUUAUAUAUAAAAAAUAGGAAUGUUUUUGUGUAUAUAAUAUUUUAAACUUAAGAAAUUAUCUGAAAAAUAUUAGCUUUUAUGUUUUUAAUAUGAAAUUUAGAUAUUUUAUAAAUCAGUUUACUCUUGUGAAGCUUAUAAGAUUUUGUUUUAAACUUUUCAAGAAAAAAAUAUCUGUUUUUAUAUGAAAAAUUUUUUAUGAAGAAAGGAAAAAUAAAUUAUACUGCUUUUAUGUAUAAGCUUCAGUGUAGAAGAAAAUCAGCACUAAUAGACCAUAGAGUAAAGUCUUUAAUUAAUCAAAAUGUUUUCAUCUACUAUAUAGUCAUCUUUGGUGAUGAAUGGAACUGUACUGUAAGUACAGCUGAGAAAAGACCCAUGAGUAGGUCAAAAACAAUACUGAUCAGGAAAAACAAUUUAUUUUUGUAAUAAAUUGUUUCUUAUGAUUUCUUAUGAGUGCUGUUUAUUGUUAUAAAAUAAAUGUCUAUUGUUAUUUUUAUUUCAUUAAAUUUAAUUUUUUAUAAAUUUUUUGCUUAAUGUUUAAAAACAUUUUUAUAAAAGAAUUUUUAUUGAAUUAUUUGAUAAUUAUAUCUUGAUAAAUUUUCACUUAUUAUUAUUGAAUUUACAGUAUUCAGUAUAUUUUAUUAACUUAAAACAUAUUCUCCAUUACAUCAUCUAAAUCCAUUAAUCCAUUACUAAAUCCAGAAUUUUUGUAGUAUCUAUUAUCAAUAAUAAUAACUUUAAACUAUAUUCUUAAAAUCAUACUUUUUUU
rnacentral:lncRNA from 1 species